rnacentral:rRNA from 1 species
GAUGAACGCUAGCGGCAGGCUUAAUACAUGCAAGUCGAGGGACAGCACAGGUAGCAAUACUGGGUGGUAACCGGCAAACGGGUGCGGAACACGUACACAACCUUCCUUUAAGUGGGGGAUAGCCCAGAGAAAUUUGGAUUAAUACCCCGUAAUAUAGUUGAAUGGCAUCAUUUGAUUAUUAUAGCUACGGCGCUUAAUGAUGGGUGUGCGGCUGAUUAGAUAGUUGGCGGGGUAACGGCCCACCAAGUCUACGAUCAGUAGCUGAUGUGAGAGCAUGAUCAGCGAAACGGGCAAUGAGGCACGGGCCCGACUCCUACGGGAGGCAGCAGUAAGGAAUAUUGGUCAAUGGACGCAAGUUUGAACCAGCCAUGCCGCGUGAAGGAUUAAGGUCCUCUGGAUUGUAAACUUCUUUUAUUUGGGACGAAAAAGGGCCUUUCUAGGUCAACUGACGGUACCAGAUGAAUAAGCACCGGCUAACUCCGUGCCAGCCGCCGCAGUAAGAC